rnacentral:rRNA from 1 species
AACGGACGCUGGCGGCAGGCCUAACACAUGCAAGUCGAACGCCCCGCAAGGGGAGUGGCAGACGGGUGAGUAACGCGUGGGAACCUUCCCAAAGGUGCGGAAUAGCUCAGGGAAACUUGGGGUAAUACCGCAUAAUGCCGAGAGGCCAAAGAUUUAUCGCCUUUGGAUGGGCCCGCGUCGGAUUAGCUAGUUGGUGAGGUAACGGCUCACCAAGGCGACGAUCCGUAGCUGGUUUGAGAGAAUGACCAGCCACACUGGGACUGAGACACGGCCCAGACUCCUACGGGAGGCAGCAGUGGGGAAUCUUGGACAAUGGGCGCAAGCCUGAUCCAGCCAUGCCGCGUGAGUGACGAAGGCCUUAGGGUUGUAAAGCUCUUUUGCCGGGGACGAUAAUGACGGUACCCGGAGAAUAAGUCCCGGCUAACUUCGUGCCAGCCGCCGCGGUAA